rnacentral:rRNA from 1 species
UACGAAGGGUGCAAGCGUUACUCGGAAUUACUGGGCGUAAAGCGUGCGUAGGUGGUUUGUUAAGUCUGUUGUGAAAGCCCCGGGCUCAACCUGGGAAUGGCAAUGGAUACUGGCAGGCUAGAGUGCGGUAGAGGGUAGUGGAAUUCCCGGUGUAGCGGUGAAAUGCGUAGAGAUCGGGAGGAGCACCAGUGGCGAAGGCGGCUACCUGGACCAGCACUGACACUGAGGCACGAAAGCGUGGGGAGCAAACAGG